AACGAACGCUGGCGGCAUGCCUAACACAUGCAAGUCGAACGAGACCUUCGGGUCUAGUGGCGCACGGGUGCGUAACGCGUGGGAACCUGCCCUUAGGUUCGGAAUAGCUCCCCGAAAGGGGUGCUAAUACCGGAUAAUGUCUUCGGACCAAAGAUUUAUCGCCUUUGGAUGGGCCCGCGUUGGAUUAGCUAGUUGGUAGGGUAAAAGCCUACCAAGGCGACGAUCCAUAGCUGGUCUGAGAGGAUGAUCAGCCACACUGGGACUGAGACACGGCCCAGACUCCUACGGGAGGCAGCAGUGGGGAAUAUUGGACAAUGGGCGAAAGCCUGAUCCAGCAAUGCCGCGUGAGUGAUGAAGGCCUUAGGGUUGUAAAGCUCUUUUACCCGGGAUGAUAAUGACAGUACCGGGAGAAUAAGCUCCGGCUAACUCCGU
rnacentral:rRNA from 1 species